UAAUACGUAGGGCGCAAGCGUUGUCCGGAAUUAUUGGGCGUAAAGAGCUCGUAGGCGGCUUGUCGCGUCGGUUGUGAAAGCCCGGGGCUUAACUCCGGGUCUGCAGUCGAUACGGGCAGGCUAGAGUCCGGUAGGGGAGAUCGGAAUUCCUGGUGUAGCGGUGAAAUGCGCAGAUAUCAGGAGGAACACCGGUGGCGAAGGCGGAUCUCUGGGCCGAUACUGACGCUGAGGAGCGAAAGCGUGGGGAGCGAACAGGAUUAGAUACCCUGGUAGUCCACGCCGUAAACGGUGGGCACUAGGUGUGGGCAGCAUUCCACGUUGUCCGUGCCGUAGCUAACGCAUUAAGUGCCCCGCCUGGGGAGUACGGCCGCAAGGCUAAA
rnacentral:rRNA from 1 species